AAGCAGCUUCAAAAACAAGGCAAGUCACCAGGCCACCGCGUUUGAGACCCAUCUCUUAGGAAGCCGAGUCUCUGGCCCCAGCCCCGACCCACGUGCCUCAGCAAGGCUGGGCAGGACGGGGAUCAGGAGGUGAGAGAGGAGUCGUGACGUGGUGGCGGAGCCUGCCCUGCUCCCUGGAGCACCCCGGAGGUCUUUGCUCCAGGGCCUGCCCCUGUGUCAGGCCACGUUCAACUGGACAGUCCUGUGACGACAAAAUCGGGUGCCCGUGCUCUGCGGCAGGCUCUGCCAUGAGGCACACGGCGGCCACGCUGUCCUGGGGCCUGGGGUCCGGGAUCUCGCCCAGGGUGCACACCGGCGGAGUUGGAGCCCGAGCCCCACCUGAGCCCUGUUCAGGCCCCCUGCCUCCCAGGCUGACCAGUGUCUGGCCUGUCCUCAAAACCUCGCCGUGUCACAGCCACGAGGAAGCAGGACAGAGCACCAUGGGGCAUCUGCUGGGAAGGGGGACAGACUCUGCCAUGAAUCAGAGGAGUGAC
rnacentral:lncRNA from 1 species